UGGAUAAAAUAAAAAAAUAAA
rnacentral:piRNA from 1 species